GUUGACAGACAUCAGCUGAGUGAGUGGCAGGUGAAGACCCCAGGACCUACGUCCGUCCAGCUCUUCAUCCUCCUUCUGCCAUAAGCUGCAGACCAAGCAUCAAGCACUCACGGAACUACAAGCAGUGCUGCAAACAUUCGACUAUGUGUCCACGCGGAACCCAGAGACACCCUCUGUUUGCCUGAAAAUGACUGACAGGAUGGAAACUGACCAGUCAUCACCUGCUUCUGGCACCAUCAAGGACUGGUUAACUCAAAAUGCUGGUCCACAUGGGAGGAUGAACCUGGGUUCCAAGAUCAGCCAAAUGCUCUGGGCUCUGGAUCAGAACUCCAGAACUGGACAGUCAAGCUAGGGAGCAUCUUAGAAAUGAGAGAAUAUGGUAAAGGAUACUUUUGGAAGAAGUGAUGUAUUUUUCCUUUCGUUUCAAGAGAAGAAAUUGAGACCAGAGCAAGUUAUCAAUUUAAUCUGUACUCACGUGUAAAAACGCGCACAGAGGUCACACAUCCUGUUCACAGGCAGAUAGAUUCUGAAACCAAAUACCAGGCUGAAUAGGUAUUCCCAUUCCAAAGAAAGAGCUGUACGCAUGUUUUUACUUGCAUUUCAAAACUCUACCAAAUGGCCACAAUCAACUACUUGGGAUUUUUCCUAAUUAGUAUUGCUCUGUGCCUCUGUCACCUUUAGCAGAAAGCUGAAAAUUUGUAACCUUCAAAAUUAGCAGCAGUGAAUGCCAGAAAGCUUUUCAAAAAACAGUCAAUGUGCGUUUGGGACCUAAUUGCUGCACCUGAAAUUGUCGUCUGAGGAUUUUUCAGUCUUCAGAGAAGUCCCCGACCCUUGGGAGAACUAGCGUUCAAACCAAAAGUUUCCCCCAAAUCAUAUACCUGAGAAAAAUGUUAGAACAGAUUUACCCAUAAAGGCAAGGAAAUAAAACGGAGAAUAAACAAACCGUAAAUCCGAUGUCUCUCCCUUCCUUAAAUCCUCCAAUGGCUUCCUAAUGUACUUGGAACACUAAUAAAACUUCCUUACCACGACCUUUGAGGCCGCACAUGACCUGUCCCCCAACCACAUCUCCUGAUUUUUUUCUCAUUGCACAAUCCCCUUUACACACUGUGUUCCACAGACACCAGCCUUUUUUGUCAAACACAUGAAGCAUAUUCCUCCUUCAGGUUCUCUGCACUUGGUAUUCCUCUUGCCUAGAGAGGUCACCCCCUUCUGAGCGCUACCAGGCAGUUGGGCAAGAUGUUCACAGUACAAGAUCAGGCAGAGCAAAGGGUGCCUUUUCUAAUUCAUACACUAUAGCAGCCAUCUGAGCUAGCAGCAGUCCUGUUUCCCUGGGAGGAUUCAUUCAUUCCUGAAACAAGUAUUAGUUGAGCACCAACAGUAAGUCAGGCACUGUUCUAGGCACUGGGAUUGUAGCCUCGAACCAGGCAGGCAGCCCUUUGCUACGUGGGAAGCCAGACACUA